AUUGAACGCUGGCGGCAGGCCUAACACAUGCAAGUCGAGCGAGCGGCGGACGGGUGAGUAAUGUAUGGGGAUCUGCCUGAUGGAGGGGGAUAACUACUGGAAACGGUGGCUAAUACCGCAUACCAUCAGAUGAACCCAUAUGGGAUUAGCUUGUAGGUGAGGUAAAGGCUCACCUAGGCGACGAUCCCUAGCUGGUCUGAGAGGAUGAUCGGCAACACGGGGACUGAGACACGGCCCAGACUCCUACGGGAGGAAGCAGUGGGGAAUAUUGCACAAUGGGCGAAAGCCUGAUGCAGCCAUGCCGCGUGUAUGAAGAAGGCCUUCGGGUUGUAAAGUACUCUCAGCGGGGAGGCGUUACUCGCAGAAGAAGCACCGGCUAACUCCGUGCCAGCAGCCGCGGUAAUAC
rnacentral:rRNA from 1 species